rnacentral:RNase_P_RNA from 2 species
UCCGCUGCGUUCUCUGCCACAAGCAACGACACGCUCCUGUUCUCGCAACAGUUGAGCACUCGUUCUCUUCCUUGCAGAUGAGAAAUUCGGAGUAAUCUUCAAACCUUUCACCUCUGUCUUCGAAUCACUCCGUGAUCUCGAGGCACAAGGUACUGCCCGCGAGGGCCCGGCACGAUUGUUCCCGUGCUCGCAAUAUGGCAUCAGAAAUUUACAGGGCCUCGAGGCCGGCAUCCAUGUGGUGCCCGUGCCUUGAGGGAUUCCCUUUGGAAGAGCCGUUGCGAAGAUUGUCUGGGGGGUUCACCGAAGUGUCCUUCCUUACUUUAGUGCAAUCGCAGCGGAAACCUAUCCAUUUCCUCUCGAGGGACGAUAGGGUUUCAAUUCGAUUCCGAUUACUCUAGA